rnacentral:rRNA from 1 species
AUGGGCCGCCACAGCAGCAGCAGCGGCAAGACCGAGGCCGGCGGCGAGCAGUACCGCAAGGAGGAGAAGCAUCACAAGCACAUGGAGAAGCUGGCCAAGCUCGGUGCCGUCGCCGCCGGAGCAUACGCUAGGCACGAGAAGCACGAGGCGAGGAAGGACCCGGAGCAUGCGAGGUCGCACAAGAUGAAGGAGAAGAUCGCCGCCACUGUCGCCGCCGGCAGCGCAGGAUUCGCCAUCCACGAGCACCACAAGAAGAAAGAGGCCAAGAAGCACGCUCGUCAUGCCCACCACCACAGAUACAAUCAUGGAUGCAUAUGCACAUGUAGACCCUAG